rnacentral:rRNA from 1 species
UACAGAGGGUGCGAGCGUUAAUCGGAAUUACUGGGCGUAAAGGGCGCGUAGGCGCCUUCUAAGUCGAACGUGAAAUCCCCGGGCUCAACCCGGGAACUGCGUCCGAUACUGGAAGGCUUGAAUCCGGGAGAGGGAUGUGGAAUUCCAGGUGUAGCGGUGAAAUGCGUAGAUAUCUGGAGGAACACCGGUGGCGAAGGCGACAUCCUGGACCGGUAUUGACGCUGAGGCGCGAAAGCAUGGGGAGCGAACAGG